rnacentral:rRNA from 1 species
CGCGACAUAAGCGAUAAUGGUUUUGUGAAAUCUUCUAGGAUGUUAAUUGGUAAAAGGAUUGGAGUUGGUUUAAUAUAUUUCUCGAAAUAG